rnacentral:hammerhead_ribozyme from 1 species
AUUCAGCUAAAUCUAAAUAGGUCGAAACGCGCGUCCUGGAU